rnacentral:lncRNA from 1 species
UUGUAGAAAACAACCAGCCAAAGAUUAAGAAUGGAGGAGAAAGAGAGAAAACCGAUUGAAAGCAGCCUCCAAACUUAGGACAAAACGUAAGAUUACAAUGGUUUAUAUAGUACAAAACUAAGGAAACAUAAUAAAACUAAACUACCCUUAACCUAAUUAACUUAUUAAGUUAACAUCCCCCCUCAAACUCACGAUGCUACGACAAGGAGCAACGAGAGUUUGACCAACAAAAAGCGUAAAUGAUAAAUCGAAUUUGACUUCAUAGCAAAGUCUACAAGCUGUAACGACGGAGAGCAACGAAAGGCAGGGAAAUGAUGCCGAACUGUAGAUGACCAACGAAACCACACAAUCUCAGCUAAGCCAAACGGAUGCAAAUUUCAAAUUCCAAAUGAACUUGACAUAUCAAUUCCAAGAACUGACUAUGCCAAAUUCCAAACUCCAAAUUCCAAACUGGACAAACGAAAUUUCUAAUCCCAUAAACUGGGCAAACAAACGAAAUUUCCAAAUCCCGUGAACCGGGCAUCAAACAAAAUUUUCAAUCCCACAAACUGGGCACAAAUUUCAAAUUCAAGCUCGACAAAUGCCAAAUUUAAGGCAACCACACCUAACAUCACAUCCCCAUCUUUCUCGUCACAAUGAACUCAUCAAAAUCAGCAUAGCAACAAUAUCCCAAAAUUCAAACUUUAGCUCCUCUUCUCCAUCCAUUCAUCCAUUGAAAGCCCAAAUAAAACUAAACCCAUACCCAAACAAUAACCAAGCCCAACAGUAAACUCAAUUGACCAAAACCCAAGUUAAAACCUAACUCAUAAUCUAUAGCCCA